rnacentral:rRNA from 1 species
AUUGAACGCUGGCGGCAGGCCUAACACAUGCAAGUCGAGCGGGGUUUUCGGACCUAGCGGCGGACGGGUGAGUAAUGCGUAGGAAGCUACCCGAUAGAGGGGGAUACCAGUUGGAAACGACUGUUAAUACCGCAUAAUGUCUACGGACCAAAGUGUGGGACCUUCGGGCCACACGCUAUCGGAUGCGCCUACGUGGGAUUAGCUAGUUGGUGAGGUAAUGGCUCACCAAGGCGACGAUCCCUAGCUGGUUUGAGAGGAUGAUCAGCCACACUGGAACUGAGACACGGUCCAGACUCCUACGGGAGGCAGCAGUGGGGAAUAUUGGACAAUGGGCGCAAGCCUGAUCCAGCCAUGCCGCGUGUGUGAAGAAGGCCUUCGGGUUGUAAAGCACUUUCAGUAGGGAGGAAGCGUUGUGUGUUAAUAGUACACAGCGUUGACGUUACCUACAGAAGAAGCACCGGCUAACUCUGUGCCAGCCGCCGCUGUAAAAC